UUGUCAUAGUUUUGUUUUCUGCAAGUCCGUGCACGCAGCUCAUCGGUAGAUGCACGGGUGCACGGCGUCGCAUUGCGACCUGCGGCAUUUUCUCGUGUUCGCGCAAUCGGUGUGAAACAUGUCGCAUGUGAAAUAUUUGAUAGAAGUGCCUCACGUCCAAGUCAAGCCGCCGUACGGGUGUAUGGCUGUGUGCCCCGUUCUCGGAAGCGUCGACGGGUUUCCGGCAUGCGGAUUUCAGCGUUUGGACUCGACUUUUGUUGAGGAUGUCGAUCGACCUUGGGCCUGGUGACAGCACACCCGACAUGGCCAAAGUGCAGCCUAUCAGUUGAGUGCCCCCGAAUGGACCAUCAACAUCGGAAAAUGAAACAGAGCCAGGGGGAAAAGGUUCCGGUAACACCAUGCAUUCAGUAUGGUGGCCCAGACGUGUAUGCAAGCAAUUUCCUUCAUGUGGACCAAGAACUACUCUGCAGUGUCUCGCAGACUUCCAUGCGAAGUCCUCAACAUUCUCGUCUCAGUGGAAUGGCUGCUCAUCUAUCUGCGUGUCCAUCACCAAGACGGCCAGUUGUAAAGCUCCUGUACCCGUUUAAGAAAGCUUAAUGAUUUUUUUAUUUAGUUUUCACGGUUGGCCGUAGAAUCUUAACAUUUUUGAUGUUUAUAACAUUUUUACCUGGCACAAAGUGGUGCAAUAACUUUAAACCAGUGUAAUGUAUUUAAGUGAUGCCCACUCUAAUGCCUAUCUGGUUUUGUUAGUGUUUAAGAAAUUUGUAUGUCUGAUGAGGUAACGGCCUUUGAAUUUGUCAUCGUGGCUCGUUUCAAUGAGCUGCUAGGAAAAAAGUCGCAAAACUUAUCACAUGCCAGUUGUAGCAUUUUUGUUUUCAUGACUAUAGUAUACACGUUUCAAAAGAUGGAAAGUGGGAAAAAAAACCUGAAGAACAUAAUCAUCCUAGGAUUGUCAUGUCCUUACAACUCUGCAAUGAUAAUGCCUCAUACAUCUUGGGAGCACAUUGGCCACAAUGUCUACAGGUAUACUUGAUAAGAGAAUAGCUUGCACCCAGAUUUGCCACACAGUUGAUGGCUGAUGGCUUUUGUUUGUCGUCUUCAUGUUACUACUAUGUAUUCAAUAUUCAUUUAGAUGUAAAGGACACUAGAGGCACUGAAGUACCAAAUGGCACUUGCAUUUCAGGGGACAAAGUGCCCAGCAUGCCUGUCACAAAACGU